rnacentral:rRNA from 1 species
CUACGGGGGGCUGCAGUGAGGAAUAUUGCACAAUGGGGGGAACCCUGAUGCAGCAACGCCGCGUGGAGGAUGACGCAUUUCGGUGUGUAAACUCCUUUUAUAUGUCAAGAAAAUGACGGUAGCAUAUGAAUAAGCACCGGCUAACUCCGUGCCAGCAGCUGCGGUAAUACGGAGGGUGCAAGCGUUACUCGGAAUCACUGGGCGUAAAGGACGCGUAGGCGGGUUGGAAAGUCAGGUGUGAAAUCCUACAGCUUAACUGUAGAACUGCACUUGAAACUUCUAAUCUAGAGUAUGGGAGGGGGAGAUGGAAUUAGUGGUGUAGGGGUAAAAUCCGUAGACAUCACUAGGAAUACCUAAAGCGAAGGCGAUCUCCUGGAACAUUACUGACGCUAAGGCGUGAAAGCGUGGGGAGCAAACAGGAUUAGAUACCCGUGUAGUC